CAUAUCAAAAAGCAAGUGGGUGUGAUCCUUAAACUUGAUUUUGAAAAAGCCUACGACAAAGUUAAUUGGGAUUUUUUGCUUGACUGCCAUGAGAAGCGUGGGUUUAACUCUAAGUGGUGUGGGUGGGUUUCUCAAAUCCUUAAGAAUGGUACGGUGAGUGUCAAAAUUAACGAUGAGACCGGCCCUUAUAUACAAAGUGCUAAGGGGGUACGGCAGGGUGACCCUCAUCCCCCCUUUCUGUUUAACAUUGCGGCUGAAUGCCUGACUAAAAUGGUGCUUUCAGCACAAAAACGGACUCAUUAA
rnacentral:rRNA from 1 species